CACUGGUUUCCUCCCACAGUCCAAAGACAUGAAGUUAGGUGGAUUGACCAUGCCAAACUGCCCAGAAGUGUUCAGGAGAGUGUAGAUAUAGGUGGAUAAGCUGAGCAUUUCCGACAGAUGCUGUUCCUAUUGGAGGAGAAUGUCUGCAACCCAUCGAAACCCCAUCAAACGUCUUGUGAUCUCUGAUUCUCCUUCAGCAAGUAGCUCAGGAGCAGCUGCAAAAUCUGGAGGUUGGUGGAUGAAUUUGGGAGCUCUGGAUAUGGAAAGACAUGCUUCCUCUCACAAUUCUCAAGAAGGAGGUGAGAACGAGCUGCACUACUAUCGAGGGAGGGGAUUGGCAAUGGCUGUCUUGGCAUAAACUUCAUGUAGAGUUGUUGAGCAAACAUUGCCUGAGAAAGCUGUCAAUCAGGAUGGCGUACAUUGUUCGAUAGUUGCUUUGGACACUGACCAUGCUGCUUGACAGGUAUCUGUCCAAUGAGGCCAGGCCCUCUUUAGCAUGGGGCCCAGUGGUUCCUGCCA